UCGCUUCGGCAGCGCAUAUACUAAAAUUGGAACGAUACAGAGAAGAUUAGCAUGGCCCCUGCGCAAAAAUGUCCUCUGGAAUACAAAAGAGGGAGGUAU